ensembl:lncRNA
AUCAACACAUUUAUAUUUCUAGAUGCUGCACUUUGCUGUUUCAUUACCCAGACAGCUGUUUAAGGUCAGACCAAGGCAGAGUGUAGUAUCAGUACUUAGGGGUCAUAGGUCAUACCAAGGCAGAGUGUAGUAUCAGUACUUAGGGGUCAUAGGUCAUACCAAGGCAGAGUGUAGUAUCAGUACUUAGGGGUCAUAGUGGUCAUGGCUGAUAUACAUGGACUAGAAAACAAACUUUAAGACCAUUUUUCUAAGAUUCACUGUUUGUGUAGAUGCUGUUUGUCUCUUUAGGACUGUAGUUCAGGUGGCUGUUUGUGUAGAUGCUGUUUGUCUCUUUAGGACAGUAGUUCAGGUGGCUGUUUGUGUAGAUGCUGUUUGUCUCUUUAGGACUGUAGUUCAGGUGGCUGUUUGUCUUUGUAGGACUGUAGUUCAGGUGGCUGUUUGUCUUUGUAGGACAGUAGUUCAGGUGGCUGUUUGUCUUUGUAGGACAGUAGUUCAGGUGGCUGUUUGUGUAGAUGCUGUUUGUCUUUGUAGGACAGUAGUUCAGGUGGAUGUUUGUGUAGAUGCUGUUUGUCUUUGUAUGACAGUAGUUCAGGUGGCUGUUUGUGUAGAUGCUGUUUGUCUCUGUAGGACAGUAGUUCAGGUGGCUGUUUGUGUAGAUGCUGUUUGUCUUUGUAGGACAGUAGUUCAGGUGGCUGUUUGUCUUUGUAGGACAGUAGUUCAGGUGGCUGUUUGUCUUUGUAGGACAGUAGUUCAGGUGGCUGUUUGUCUUUGUAGGACAGUAGUUCAGGUGGCUGUUUGUCUUUGUAGGACAGUAGUUCAGGUGGCUGUUUGUCUUUGUAGGACAGUAGUUCAGGUGGCUGUGUGUCUUCGUAGGACAGUAGUUCAGGUGGCUGUUUGUGUAGAUGCUGUUUGUCUUUGUAGGACAGUAGUUCAGGUGGCUGCCCUUGCACUUAGUCUGCCUCCUGCCCCCCCAUCGUCAUGGUUACACCUUCCUGAAUACAAUGACUCCCAUACUUUGCUGAAACCUGUUCUGCCAG